CCUACGGGCGGCAGCAGUGAGGAAUAUUGGUCAAUGGACGAGAGUCUGAACCAGCCAAGUAGCGUGAAGGAUGACUGCCCUAUGGGUUGUAAACUUCUUUUAUAAAGGAAUAAAACGAGGCACGUGUGCCUUUUUGCAUGUACUUUAUGAAUAAGGAUCGGCUAACUCCGUGCCAGCAGCCGCGGUAAGACGGAGGAUCCGAGCGUUAUCCGGAUUUAUUUGGUUUAAAGGGAGCGUAGAUGGGUUGUUAAGUCAGUUGUGAAAGUUUGCGGCUCAACCGUAAAAUUGCAAUUGAUACUGGCAGUCUUGAGUACAGUUGAGGUAGGCGGAAUUCGUGGUGUAGCGGUGAAAUGCUUAGAUAUCACGAAGAACCCCGAUUGCGAAGGCAGCUUACUAAACUGUGACUGACAUUGAUGCUCGAAAGUGUGGGUUUCAAACAGGAUUAGAUACCCUUGUAGUC
rnacentral:rRNA from 1 species